CCCCCGUUCGGGGGGACAGGGUGACAGGUGGUGCAUGGUUGUCGUCAGCUCGUGUCGUGAGAUGUUGGGUUAAGUCCCGCAACGAGCGCAACCCCUACGUUUAGUUGCUAACGCGUGAAGGCGAGCACUCUAGACGAACUGCCGUUGACAAACGGAGAAGUGGGGAUGACGUCAAAUCAUCAUGCCCCUUAUGUUCUGGGCUACACACGUGCUACAAUGGUUGGUACAACGAGUUGCGAGUCGGUGACGGCGAGCUAAUCUCUUAAAGCCAAUCUCAGUUCGGAUUGUAGGCUGCAACUCGCCUACAUGAAGUCGGAAUCGCUAGUAAUCGCGGAUCAGCACGCCGCGGUGAAUACGUUCCCGGGCCUU
rnacentral:rRNA from 1 species